rnacentral:rRNA from 1 species
GAUAAACGCUGGCGGCGUGCCUAAAACAUGCAAGUCGAACGGCACCUUUCGGGGUGUAGUGGCGGACGGCUGAGUAACACGUGGGUGACCUGCCCUCGAGCGGGGGAUAACUGCCCGAAAGGGUGGCUAAUACCGCAGACAUCUAUCAUUCGGUUGGUAGAUUGAACCGAAUCAGGGUUCGAGGAGGGGCCUGCGUCCGAUUAGCUAGCUGGUGGGGUAAUGGCCUACCAGGGCAUCGAUCGGUAGCUGGUCUGAGAGGAUGAUCAGCCAGACUGGGACUGCGAACGGCCCAGACUCCUACGGGAGGCAGCAGUUAGGAAUUUUGGGCAAUGGGCGAAAGCCUGACCCAGCAACGCCGCGUGGGUGAUGAAGGCCCUCGGGUCGUAAAGCCCUUUUCCCAGGGAAGAUAGUGACGGUACCUGGGGAAUCAGCCCCGGCUAACUACGUGCCAGCCGCCGC